rnacentral:rRNA from 1 species
UACGGAGGGUGCAAGCGUUAUCCGGAUUCACUGGGUUUAAAGGGUGCGUAGGCGGACAGGUAAGUCAGUGGUGAAAUCUCUGGGCUUAACUCAGAAACUGCCGUUGAUACUAUUUGUCUUGAAUGUCAUGGAGGUAAGCGGAAUAUGUCAUGUAGCGGUGAAAUGCUUAGAUAUGACAUAGAACACCGAUAGCGAAGGCAGCUUACUACAUGAAGAUUGACGCUGAGGCACGAAAGCGUGGAGAGCAAACAGG